UCCCGGGUUGUAGCUGAAGGGUCGUUGCCCCCAACAUUGCUGAUGACAAUAGUUUGAUUAUACAUUAUACUAAUUAUUUAAAACGAAGUAUAGUUUGAUUCCGAUCCACACUAAGAUGCAUAAAUUUGUAACCUUCUCUUUGCUCAACUCCAACAUGUCUUUGGACUGCAUCAUGCUAAAGCAAAACAUAUAGUAACUAAAUUCUCAAAAACUUUGGCUUCCUUCCUUAUUCCAAUAUGCCAACCAAAAUGGUGAGUUGCAGCAGAGGUAAGGCAGUGCUAGUAAGGGUAUAUGCUGAGAAGCAUGGGAAGAGGAGAUCAUCAAUUCAACAGCAUCGCCACCACCACCAUGUCCAUCAAACAUUUAGACAAGAGGCGCAUAGUUCUGCAAGUAAGGGAUAUGAUAGAAGAGCAGGGUUGCUUAACUACUCGCAUCAAUUGCGCGCGUCCGCAAAAGGAACAUCUGCAUCUUCCACACCCUUACUCUCCAUGUCUACUAACAUCCAUGUUCACACAGCUCCAACCAAGCUUCUGGCUUUUGAUCAUUCUUGUAGGGUAUGCUGAAAUGUAUGUUAAGAAUAUAAUAUGUAGUGAAGGAGUUUCCUCCGUGUUACCGUUUUGCAGAUGACCUCUCCCAAGAAAAAGCCCAAUUAUACUGGAACACCAACUUGCUUUGGCAAUUGGAAACUAUUGAUUCCAAGCUUCUUAAGAUCAUGGUGCAAUGCCCCAAAAAAGAAGAAAAAGGUGCAUAGCAGAUUUUUAGAAAACCGCAUGAAAAUUUUCCAGAAAAGGAGAGGAAGGAAUUUCUUUUCGAAUGUGUACUCAGUAAGACGGACGCGUGCUUGUGUUUAGGAUCAAUUUUGUUGUGGCUUUUCACUUUUCUCAAUGGUGCAAUGUCUCGAUACAGCUAAGUUCUUGUCUUACCUAACUGCCAAUUAUUGAUAAGCACAUUCAAACUGCUUGAAUUGGCUCUACAUUGUCAUUUAUAGGUGUGAUGGACCAAGACUUCAAUUUAUAUAUCUAGAAAUCUUAUUCAGUAUUUCAUUGAUUUAUAACUUGCAUCUCUAUAUAUAUAAAUAAAUAAAUAAAACACGACUAAUCACGUAAGAACUAUCAUGGUUAA